GACGAACGCUGGCGGCGUGCUUAACACAUGCAAGUCGAACGGAAAGGCCCUGCUUUUGUGGGGUGCUCGAGUGGCGAACGGGUGAGUAACACGUGAGUAACCUGCCCUUGACUUUGGGAUAACUUCAGGAAACUGGGGCUAAUACCGGAUAGGAGCUCCUGCUGCAUGGUGGGGGUUGGAAAGUUUCGGCGGCUGGGGAUGGACUCGCGGCUUAUCAGCUUGUUGGUGGGGUAGUGGCUUACCAAGGCUUUGACGGGUAGCCGGCCUGAGAGGGUGACCGGCCACAUUGGGACUGAGAUACGGCCCAGACUCCUACGGGAGGCAGCAGUGGGGAAUAUUACACAAUGGGCGGAAGCCUGAUGCAGCAACGCCGCGUGCGGGAUGACGGCCUUCGGGUUGUAAACCGCUUUCGCCUGUGACGAAGCGUGAGUGACGGUAAUGGGUAAAGAAGCACCGGCUAACUACGUG
rnacentral:rRNA from 1 species